UGGGGAAUAUUGGACAAUGGGCGAAAGCCUGACACAGCAACGCCGCGUGAAGGAUGAAGUCCCUCGGGAUGUAAACUUCGUAAGAAUAGGAAGAAUAAAUGACGGUACUAUUUGUAAGGUCCGGCUAACUACGUGCCAGCAGCCGCGGUAAUACGUAGGGACCAAGCGUUGUUCGGAUUUACUGGGCGUAAAGGGUGCGUAGGCGGCAUAUCAAGUCACUUGUGAAAUCUCCGGGCUUAACUCGGAACUGCCAAGUGAUACUGAUGUGCUAGAGUGCAGAAAGGGCAACUGGAAUUCUUGGUGUAGCGGUGAAAUGCGUAGAUAUCAAGAGGAACACCUGAGGUGAAGACGGGUUGCUGGGCUGACACUGACGCUGAGGCGCGAAAGCCAGGGGAGCAAACGGGAUUAGAUACCCGCGUAGUCCCUGAGCGGGCUGGCAAGGCGCAU
rnacentral:rRNA from 1 species